AUUUAUAUAGUUUAAGCAAAACUUUAUAUUUUCAAUAUAAAAAUAGAAAUCUCUUAUAAAUU
rnacentral:tRNA from 1 species